rnacentral:lncRNA from 1 species
UAGAAUAUUUUUAGGUGGUUCUAGAGAUGGAAAUGGAUGGAUAUAUGUGGAUGGUACUUCCGGAGUAGAAGUAGCAUAUAUGAGUGAACGUGCAAGUGAAUCUUGAUUUAACCACAUGACAAGUUCCUAAGGGUCUACACAGCUUGACCACACUCAAUGCUCAUAAGCAGUAAAUAGUAAAUGUGUGGCUCAAAGUCUAGCAAGCAUGUAUAUAUGGCUGUGGUAGGAAUUUAAACUCUCAUCAUACAGGAACUCAUCAUGCAACAUUUUAAAGAUUUUCAAAGAUAAAAUUCUCCAGAAUUCUAGCAUCUCUAGGAACAGAUAAACAGCAGCUCAACCUUU